UACAUGGGGUGCAAACGUUGCUCGGAAUUAUUGGGCGUAAAGCGCACGUAGGCGGUUUGUUAAGUCGGAUGUGAAAUCCCUCGGCUCAACUGAGGAGGUGCACCCGAAACUGGCAGGCUUGAGUACUAAAGAGGGUCACGGAAUUCCCGGUGUAGAGGUGAAAUUCGUAGAUAUCGGGAGGAACACCGGUGGCGAAGGCGGCGACCUGGGUAGAUACUGACGCUGAGGUGCGAAAGCGUGGGGAGCAAACAGG
rnacentral:rRNA from 1 species